UGGGGAAUAUUGCACAAUGGGCGCAAGCCUGAUGCAGCCAUGCCGCGUGUGUGAAGAAGGCCUUCGGGUUGUAAAGCACUUUCAGCGAGGAGGAAGGUGGUGAGCUUAAUACGCUCAUCAAUUGACGUUACUCGCAGAAGAAGCACCGGCUAACUCCGUGCCAGCAGCCGCGGUAAUACGGAGGGUGCAAGCGUUAAUCGGAAUUACUGGGCGUAAAGCGCACGCAGGCGGUUUGUUAAGUCAGAUGUGAAAUCCCCGGGCUCAACCUGGGAACUGCAUUUGAAACUGGCAAGCUAGAGUCUCGUAGAGGGGGGUAGAAAUUUCCAGGUGUAGCGGUGAAAUGCGUAGAGAUCUGGAGGAAUACCGGUGGCGAAGGCGGCCCCCCUGGACGAAGACUGACGCUCAGGUGCGAAAAGCGUGGGGCAGCAAAACAGGAUUAGAUACCCUGGUAGUCCA
rnacentral:rRNA from 1 species